ensembl:snoRNA Gm24143 small nucleolar RNA SNORA38
UCCUCCUACAAGGGUUUUAGUUCCCUGUCCUUGGAUACUUAAGAAUCGGAGGCAAAGAAAUGUGGUGGAAUUGGAAAGGUCUGGAACCAGCUUGCCCCCCGCAGGCUCAGGAUCAACCAUCCCACAGAG